CCUAUCUUAACAAACGGAGCACAAAGGUGAAACAAUAGGUAAUGCCUUAUAUACAUGCACUUGGGCCGAUACCUUGCAUGUAUAAUUAAAACUGAUAACUUUUUCCAAACAGAAAGGUCCAACUCAUUCUGGAGACCCAAAAUCAAAUGUAUAACAAAGACAAACAGCAUCAGAUAUAUACUGCAGUAAAAUCAUUCUGAAUUCUUCAUUGGAACAAAACAACAAACAAUUGCAUGGCAUGAAAGAGAUCCAAGUAUUAGGCAGCAUAUUAGCAUUCAACAGAUUAUAUUGCACCUUGAAAAGAGCAUAAAGGGGGCGAACUGGAUAAAGUAGGAGACGAAAAGCGGCGUUAAUCGGAGGCGGUGACGACCAAAGGGGCUACUCCAGCCGGUGGUAAAGUCGCGGGAGGUGGAGCGCCGCCGGAAUGCAGAGAGAGAACGGAGUCGAUGGGGACGGGGGUUGUCUGAAGGCGGAGACGGGCAGCCUGAGGUCGAUUACCGCCGGAGAUGAGAGAGUACGAGAGGAGAAUGAGAUGCGGAAGAGAGGAGAGAAAGGGCGAAACAGCCGCCUCGGAGGGACCAUCCCAGCGGGUCCCGUACAAA
rnacentral:lncRNA from 1 species